GCGAAGUAGCUGAUUUCACACUGUCAAGAAAAGUCUCUAUCGAGGUUAAAGGUACCCGUACCGCAAACCGACACAGGUGGGUGAGGAGAGUAUCCUAAGGCCAGCGAGAGAACUGUUGUUAAGGAACUCGGCAAAAUGACCCCGUAACUUAGGGAUAAGGGGUGCCACCAUCAGGUGGCCGCAGAGAAUAGGCCCAAGCGACUGUUUACCAAAAACAUAGGUUUCUGCUAAGUCGCAAGACGAUGUAUAGGAGCUGACGCCUGCCCGGUGCUGGAAGGUUAAGGGGAUCUGUUAGAGCAAUCGAAGCAGUGAACUUAAGCCCCAGUAAACGGCGGCCGUAACUAUAACGGUCCUAAGGUAGCGAAAUUCCUUGUCGGGUAAGUUCCGACCCGCACGAAAGGCGUAACGAUUUGGGCACUGUCUCAACAACAGACUCGGUGAAAUUGUAAUUCCGGUGAAGAUGCCGGAUACCUGCGACAGGACGGAAAGACCCCAUGGAGCUUUACUGUAGCUUGACAUUGGGUCUUGGUACUACAUGUACAGGAUAGGUGGGAGGCUUUGAAACCAGGACGCCAGUUUUGGCGGAGCCAUCCUUGGGAUACCACCCUUGUAGUACUGGGACUCUAACCAUAGGCCAUGAAUCUGGUCUUGGGACACUGUCAGGUGGGCAGUUUGACUGGGGCGGUCGCCUCCCAAAAGGUAACGGAGGCGCUCAAAGGUUCUCUCAGUACGGUCGGAAAUCGUACGUAGAGUGUAAAGGCAAAAGAGAGCUUGAUUGCAAGACAUACAGGUCGAGCAAGGAUGAAAAUCGGACGUAGUGAUCCGGUGGUUCUGCGUGGAAGGGCCAUCGCUCAACGGAUAAAAGCUACCCUGGGGAUAACAGGCUUAUCUCCCCCAAGAGUCCACAUCGACGGGGAGGUUUGGCACCUCGAUGUCGGCUCAUCACAUCCUGGGGCU
rnacentral:rRNA from 1 species